rnacentral:rRNA from 1 species
AGGGUUCGAUCAUGGCUCAGGAUGAACGCUAGCGGCAGGCCUAACACAUGCAAGUCGAGGGGUAACAGGGGGUGCUUGCACUCCGCUGACGACCGGCGCACGGGUGCGUAACGCGUAUACAAUCUGCCUUAUACUGGGGUAUAGCCUUUAGAAAUGAAGAUUAAUCCCCCAUAGUCUCUAGAUGUGGCAUCACACUUAGAGUAAAGGUUACGGUAUAAGAUGAGUAUGCGUUCUAUUAGUUUGUUGGUGAGGUAACGGCUCACCAAGACUACGAUAGAUAGGGGCCCUGAGAGGGGGAUCCCCCACACUGGUACUGAGACACGGACCAGACUCCUACGGGAGGCAGCAGUGAGGAAUAUUGGACAAUGGAGGCAACUCUGAUCCAGCCAUGCCGCGUGCAGGAAGACUGCCCUAUGGGUUGUAAACUGCUUUUAUAUAGGAAGAAACCUUGGUACGUGUACCAAGCUGACGGUACUAUAAGAAUAAGGAUCGGCUAACUCCGUGCCAGCCGCCGCGGUAAUAC